AGAGGAGCAACUGGGACUAGAACCAGGCACCCAUAUGGGAUGUCGGCACUGCAAGGCAGAGGAUUAACCAAGUGAGCCACAGUGCCGACCCCAAAACUGUAUUCUUAAUCAGCUUAACCACCCCACCUCCCAGGUGUUAAGGUGUUAAGCAGAAGAUAUUAAACAUUAAUAAACCAGCACAGAAUGCAGAUAUUUAUCUGGUCUUUCGCAAGGAGGGUUAGGUCGCUGUAUUUCAUGCCAGAGGCUUCUCCGUUCCCUAGAACCCCUCUCCAGCUUCUCUUACAUUUGAGGUUCUCCUUUGUUGUCCUCGCCAUCUGCUCUCUUCUUUAAUUAACUGAACCCAUCUUUUUCCUGUCUGAACCUACCUCUAGAAUCAAAGAUCUAUUGAUUUAUUAUUAAGCUGCCAUUUAACAAACCGCUUUUAAGGAAAGAAGGAGGUAUUAAAUAUGAACUCUUCUGCUCUGUUUCUUGAGUGUGUUUUCAACGUAAUAGUUAAUUAGUUUCUGAUGAGCAAGUCAUCUUCAGUAAAUGAGGAUCCUAAUUGUUCCUACUGUAAUGCUGAUUUUCACACAUAAUCUCAAUCUGUUUCCCUAAUUGCCUGGUGGGCAGCGUGGCUGUAGAUGAGAAGAAAUAAGUCUCCAGCCUUAGCUGGUGGGUAGGCCGAAAAAUGACGAGCAGGUGGAAGUUAAUUGCAGCUUCUCAAGAGGUCAGUUUCAUGGCUGGCGUUUGGCUGCAUCGACAGGCUUUGCAGAAUGCACAAACCUGGUGUAGGUACAGUGAUACACUGCGACCUGGAUGCCAGCAGUAGAAUCACAAAUAUCCUCCUAGAAAGAAAUCAGUAAGUCUUAAAAUCUCCUGAGGUCCAGCCAAGACCACAUGCUGCUAUCAAAUUCCGCGUCGUCAAGGUUCCAACUGAGACCAAGAAUUAAAACGGCAUUGUGCAGUCACCACCCGUAAGGCAAACGCUGUGGGUAAGUUGGCUGCCCAGGACCCCAGCCGAGGGGACACUUUUCCCUGAUGUUAAGACAUGUGAACAUCUGCUCUCUGCCUUGGUGAUGGGGGUAGAGGAUCCCAAUGGAGCAAUGCACUGAGCUAGCUCUAGGGGUAUGGGGGCAGGGAAAUCAAGGCCCCAAAGGGAGCUAAAGUUUCCAAGACACAGGGACACCGGAGCACACUCAGCAACAAGAGGAGUCACAUGCAUUUCGCAUGAUGCUUUUCAUUUUGGUCUCUCCCUUUUUUUCCCUUCAGGAGUCUCAUACAUCCGGGUUCAUAUUUAAGCUUCCUGCCUAGAAACUAAAGGAAACUUAAUCAUCACUGGGGCGUGGUAGAACUUUCAGACACUAGACCACUGAAAACCUCAGUUCUGCAGAACUGCUGGGACUCAGGAGGAGAUGUUUCACAUUCCGAACCCUCCUGGGGCGAGACUGUCAGUAACAGCAAUCCCGUUUUCUUAGGUAAUGCAAGGCUGUGUUUGGGUUUUGAGUUUUUCUACUCUUUAGCAUCUCUCCAGCUAAGAUGCAUGUUCUACCAUAUGUAAAAGAAACUCACCAGCUACUGGUAGAGUGGAGUCCUCGACCUCCACGACACACUGAGAUUGUCAAGGGAAUUUCAAAAAUACUGGUGGCAGGUUACUAACUUAAUUGGUCUGGGGUGCGGCCUGAGAAUCUGGAAUUUUAAAAGUUCUACAGACUCCACGUAUGAGUGAAAUCAUGGGACAUUGUCUUUAUGCGCCUGCCUUGUUUUACUUAACAUGGUAACCUCCAGUUUCACCAUUCUGUUACAAGUGACAAGAUUCCAUCUGUCUUUUAUGGCUGAAGAUAAUUUCACUUCAUGUCCUUUGGAUGUAGACCCAGUGGUAGUAUUGCUGCAUCAUGUGGUAGAUCGAAUUCCAGUCUGAGGAACCUCCGUACCAUUUUCCACAUGGCUACACGAGCUGCCAUUCCCACCAACAGUGUGCAGGCACUCCCCUUUCUCCACAUCCUCACCAAUACUGAGCUUUUGUCUUUGAGAAAAGCCAAUCUUCCUGGAGUUUUGAUGUGCAUUUCCCUGAUGGUUACCAAUGUUGAGCAUUUUUUAAAUGUACUGUUGGUCAUAUAUAUAUACAUAUCUAUGUCUUCCUUUGAGAAAUAUCCAUUUAGACCUGUGGCCCGUUUUAAAAAUUGGAUUAUUUGUUUGCUAUUGAGUUCCUUAUAUAUUCUGCAGAUUAACCCUUUGUCAGGCGUGUAGUUUCCAAAUGCUUUCUCCAGUUCUGUGGGCUGUGUCUUUGUUGAUUGUUUCCUUUGCUCUUUAGUGUGGUGCCAUCAGAUUUGUCUAUUUUUGCUUUUACUUCCUGUAUUUUUCAGGUCUGAUCUAGAAAAAUCCUUGCCCAUUCUAAUGUCCUGAAGGACUUCCCCUAUGUUUUCACCCAACAGUUUUAAUGGUUCAGGUCUCAACAUUUAGCUCUGUCAUGCAUUUUGAGGCAGGCUCACUGCUGCCUGCUGCACCUGUCAUCCACCGGUGAUGUUGCCUCCCGGCUAAGGCUGCUCAGCCAGGACCACAGAACUCUUCUGGGAACUGAGGCAGCUCCAUGGGCUCUGUCUGCAGGCACUGGCCUGGGACCCACGGGAUCUGCUCCAUGCUGGGUUUUGUCAGCCUGGCACGGAAUCCUACAGCAUUCCUAUGACUCCCAAGGUUGUAGGAGGGGUGACAGAGGCAGCCCCUCAGUACUUGGGCAGGCCCUAGGACGGUCACAUCUGUUUCACUGUCGCCGUGCCCUGUAAGAUCUUGGGGCUGCACACCAGGCCCGCAAGAUGCCAGGGGUAAGCCAAGCCCACCAAGCCCCCUCCACCAGGGCGCGGGUCUCUGCCUGACAGCCCGGGCAAGCCCAGGGCCUCUGUCCACGGGCACUUGUGUCGGGAUCCGCCCAGCACGCACAGCACUGACCAAGGCACAGCAGUCCCAUGGUCCCUUGCGGUCUGCCCACGGUUGGAGGAGGGUGACAAAGGCAGCCCCUCAGGCCACCCAGACUGGCCCCAAGCUGGUGACACUUGGGUUCUACAGCACCAAGUCCCAACAAAGUUUCGGGGUGACCACAAUGAGCCCGACCCUAGCAGCGGUCUCUGCCUGGAGCUACGAGGCUCGGUCUGCGAGCCUCAGCGUGGGGCUGGAGGCCUUCGGGCUUUACCAGUUAGCGGCUCUGCGCUGUAGGCCCAGGUGUGACCUGGCCGGCCUCUCUGCCAGCACCCAGCUUCAUAGCGCCUGUGACGGUGCCUCGGCGCAUGCGCGGCUGCUCGCGUGCUGUGUCUGCGCGAGCUGGUGUCGGUGGCCAUUCGGAGGUGGGGAGUGUCCGGCCAGGUGGCCGCCUGAGGCCCCGCCAAGGCGAUUGCAGACAAUGCUGGAAAUCCAAUGACUCUAGAGCAGGAAACGCUUGAAAAAGGGCGGGAAGCAAGGAGGCAUUUGCAAUCUGCAGAGAAUACACAGCGAGGACGGAAAUUCUUUCCAGGAUUCACUCUAUGUCUCUGACAUAAUGCUGACAACCGAUUGGGCUCACAAGGCAACAGAGCUUCCACACUCAGCAGAAGCUGAGGCAAGGCCAAUUUACUUGAUGUGUCAUUUCCAAGAGAUGAAUACAGAAAGCUCUACCUCGAAGCUUCUUGAAGCAGAGCUGGGAAAUUGUUCUCAGGACAUACAGGUCCACACAGCUGGUUUUAAAUAAACAAGACCAGUUUCUUUCCUUGAGUCUUACUGAUCUGAAAAUCUAUCUCAGCACCGAUCCUGGGGGGACAAAAACUCGGUUCCCAGCCCUGGACAACAACCACUGACUAGAGAGGUACGUAGACACGUAAGGAA